UACGUAGGGACCGAGCGUUGUCCGGAAUCAUUGGGCGUAAAGAGCGUGUAGGCGGCCACUUAAGUCCUGCGUGAAAUCUUGCGGCUCAACCGCAAGCGGUCGUGGGAAACUGGGUGGCUAGAGUGCGGGAGAGGAGAGUGGAAUUCCUGGUGUAGCGGUGAAAUGCGCAGAUAUCAGGAGGAACACCAAUUGCGAAGGCAGCUCGCUGGGACGUGACUGACGCUGAGACGCGAAAGCGUGGGGAGCAAACAGG
rnacentral:rRNA from 1 species